rnacentral:rRNA from 1 species
GAUGAACGCUAGCGGCAGGCUUAAUACAUGCAAGUCGAGGGGCAGCAUGACUGUAGCAAUACAGUUGAUGGCGACCGGCAAACGGGUGCGGAACACGUACAGAACCUUCCUUCGAGCGGGGAAUAGCCCAGAGAAAUUUGGAUUAAUACCCCCAUAGUACAACGGAGUGGCAUCACUUUGUUGUUAAAGAUUUAUCACUUGAAGAUGGCUGUGCGGCUGAUUAGGUAGUUGGCGGGGUAACGGCCCACCAAGCCUGCGAUCAGUAACUGGUGUGAGAGCACGACCAGUCACACGGGCACUGAGACACGGGCCCGACUCCUACGGGAGGCAGCAGUAAGGAAUAUUGGUCAAUGGACGAAAGUCUGAACCAGCCAUGCCGCGUGGAGGAUGAAGGUCCUCUGGAUUGUAAACUUCUUUUAUAUGGGACGAAAAAAGGGUUUUCUAACUCGUCUGACGGUACCAUAUGAAUAAGCACCGGCUAACUCCGUGCCAGCAGCCG